GCAUCAUUUCAUCAACAGACAGAAGACAGACAGGGGAUCAUGAAACGACUCAAGAAGACAUUCAAGACACCAGGCACCUUGAUCCUGAAUCAGAUCCUCUCUAUUCGACAGUUCAGUCACCCACAAACCCCUCUGAUUCACAGAAUCUACUUUACUCAGCAGUUCUACAUCACUGUAGCGUCAUUUUAUAGAAUAUCUGCUGAAUGCAAACUGCGUACACUCUUCAGAACAGCAUAAGUAUGUCUUUCAUACAUUUCUGGACCUUGACAGUAUAAUUUACUUGGCAGUCAAUGGGACAGUCACAAGCCUCCCGGUUUUCAUCCAAAAUAUCUUAAAUUGUUUUUCGAAGUCGAACAAUGCUUUUACGGGUUUGGAACAACAUGGGGGUAAGUGAUUAAUGACUAAAUUUUCAUUUUGGGGUGAAGUAUCCCUUUAAAAUCAUCUCUUUUUUUUUUUGCAUCUCAGAUGUUUCUCUUGUUCACACAGGCAUCAUUUCAUCAACAGACAGAAGACAGACAGGGGAUCAUGAAACGACUCAAGAAGACAUUCAAGACGCCAGGCACCUCGAUCCUGAAUCAAAUUCUCUCUAUUCCACAGUCCAGUCACCCACAAACCCCUCUGAUUCACAGAAUCCACUUUACUCAGCAGUUCAGUUACCCAAAAACCCCUCUGAUGGGCUCCUGUACGCUGCUGUCAGUUUCCAAAAGUGUGAAGAGUCUCUCAGUGAAGCUACAGUCAGAUUCAGUAAAGAGGAGACUCAGUGUGAUUAUGCAUCUGUCAAUCACAACACCUCGCCAAAUUAAUAUUACCACUGGAUUUUUGUUUUUAUACACAACUAGAAGCAGUCACUGA
ensembl:lncRNA